CAGUAGCCACGUUAAUACAGAGGGUGCGAGCGUUAAUCGGAUUUACUGGGCGUAAAGCGUGCGUAGGUGGUGGUUUAAGUCCGUUGUGAAAGCCCUGGGCUCAACCUGGGAAUUGCAGUGGAUACUGGGUCACUAGAGUGUGGUAGAGGAUAGUGGAAUUUCCGGUGUAGCAGUGAAAUGCGUAGAGAUCGGAAGGAACAUCUGUGGCGAAGGCGACUAUCUGGGCCAACACUGACACUGAGGCACGAAAGCGUGGGGAGCAAACAGGAUUAGAUACCCGUGUAGUCCCUGUCUCUUAUAC
rnacentral:rRNA from 1 species